rnacentral:ncRNA from 2 species
GGAAGCCGGUGCGAGUCCGGCGCGGCCCCGCCACUGUAACGGGCAAGUUGAAGCGGCUCAACGCCACUGGGUGUCAGCACUCGGGAAGGCGGGCCGACCGCCCGAAGCCAGGAGAC